rnacentral:rRNA from 1 species
ACAGGUUGAUAUUCCUGUACCACCUAUAAUCGUUUUAAUCGAUGGGGGACGCAGUAGGAUAGGCGAAGCGUGCGAUUGGAUUGCACGUCUAAGCAGUAAGGCUGAGUAUUAGGCAAAUCCGGUACUCGUUAAGGCUGAGCUGUGAUGGGGAGAAGACAUUGUGUCUUCGAGUCGUUGAUUUCACACUGCCGAGAAAAGCCUCUAGAUAGAAAAUAGGUGCCCGUACCGCAAACCGACACAGGUAGUCAAGAUGAGAAUUCUAAGGUGAGCGAGCGAACUCUCGUUAAGGAACUCGGCAAAAUGACCCCGUAACUUCGGGAGAAGGGGUGCUCUUUAGGGUUAACGCCCAGAAGAGCCGCAGUGAAUAGGCCCAAGCGACUGUUUAUCAAAAACACAGGUCUCUGCUAAACCGUAAGGUGAUGUAUAGGGGCUGACGCCUGCCCGGUGCUGGAAGGUUAAGAGGAGUGGUUAGCUUCUGCGAAGCUACGAAUCGAAGCCCCAGUAAACGGCGGCCGUAACUAUAACGGUCCUAAGGUAGCGAAAUUCCUUGUCGGGUAAGUUCCGACCCGCACGAAAGGCGUAACGAUUUGGGCACUGUCUCAACGAGAGACUCGGUGAAAUCAUAGUACCUGUGAAGAUGCAGGUUACCCGCGACAGGACGGAAAGACCCCGUGGAGCUUUACUGUAGCCUGAUAUUGAAAUUCGGCACAGCUUGUACAGGAUAGGUAGGAGCCUUUGAAACGUGAGCGCUAGCUUACGUGGAGGCGCUGGUGGGAUACUACCCUAGCUGUGUUGGCUUUCUAACCCGCACCACUUAUCGUGGUGGGAGACAGUGUCAGGCGGGCAGUUUGACUGGGGCGGUCGCCUCCUAAAAGGUAACGGAGGCGCUCAAAGGUUCCCUCAGAAUGGUUGGAAAUCAUUCAUAGAGUGUAAAGGCAUAAGGGAGCUUGACUGCGAGACCUACAAGUCGAGCAGGGUCGAAAGACGGACUUAGUGAUCCGGUGGUUCCGCAUGGAAGGGCCAUCGCUCAACGGAUAAAAGCUACCCCGGGGAUAACAGGCUUAUCUCCCCCAAGAGUUCACAUCGACGGGGAGGUUUGGCACCUCGAUGUCGGCUCAUCGCAUCCUGGGGCUGUAGUCGGUCCCAAGGGUUGGGCUGUUCGCCCAUUAAAGCGGUACGCGAGCUGGGUUCAGAACGUCGUGAGACAGUUCGGUCCCUAUCCGUCGUGGGCGUAGGAAAUUUGAGAGGAGCUGUCCUUAGUACGAGAGGACCGGGAUGGACAUACCUCUGGUGUACCAGUUGUCGUGCCAACGGCAUAGCUGGGUAGCUAUGUGUGGACGGGAUAAGUGCUGAAAGCAUCUAAGCAUGAAGCCCCCCUCAAGAUGAGAUUUCCCAACUUCGGUUAUAAGAUCCCUCAAAGAUGAUGAGGUUAAUAGGUUCGAGGUGGAAGCAUGGUGACAUGUGGAGCUGACGAAUACUAAUCGAUCGAAGACUUAAUCA